UACGUAGGGACCAAGCGUUGUUCGGAUUUACUGGGCGUAAAGGGCGCGUAGGCGGCGCGGUAAGUCACUUGUGAAAUCUCUGGGCUUAACCCAGAACGGCCAACUGAUACUGUGCGACUAGAGUGCAGAAGGGGCAACUGGAAUUCUCGGUGUAGCGGUGAAAUGCGUAGAUAUCCGGAGGAACACCGGUGGCGAAGGCGGCUUCCUGGACCGACACUGACGCUGAGGCGCGAAAGCUAGGGGAGCAAACGGG
rnacentral:rRNA from 1 species